UACGUAGGUGGCAAGCGUUGUCCGGAAUUACUGGGCGUAAAGGGCGCGUAGGCGGCCCCGUGCGCGUGCCGUGAAAGCCCGGGGCUCAACCCCGGGUCGGCGGUGCGGACGGCGGGGCUGGAGCCCACCAGAGGCAGGCGGAAUUCCGGGUGUAGCGGUGGAAUGCGUAGAGAUCCGGAAGAACACCGGGGGCGAAGGCGGCCCGCUGGGAUCGAACUGACGCUGAGGCGCGACAGCGUGGGGAGCAAACAGG
rnacentral:rRNA from 1 species